rnacentral:rRNA from 1 species
AUGUGCAGUAACGAACGGCGGAUCGACGGGCACCUAAUCAAAAUCGGCGGCGGGGCUUGCGUCGUCGUCGUCGUCCUCUUCGGCGGCGGCGGCGGCGGCGGCGGCGUGCGGGUUGCAGUCGUCGGAGUAGAAGUCGUUGCGCUCGAUGAGGGAGCGGAGGCCGGGGUCCUCCUUGCCGUUGGCGCUCGGGUUGGGCUCCAGCGAGCAGUCCCCUUCGGGGCACAGGCAGCACCACGCCGGCAACGCGGCGGUUCCCGCGCCAGAGCGCCCCUCCUCCUCGCCGCGGACGGCGUCGCCGCGGCCGUGAUCGUCAGGCCUCUCCCUCCGGCCCCUCCUCUCCUGGACCACCGAGACGUUGCCCCAGCAAGCGGGCGGGGGAGGCAGCCGGUCCCGAAUCGCCCUCACGACCUGCUCCCGCCGCUUGCUCUUGCGCCUCCCCUGCUUCUUGGCUCCCCCUUCCGCCGACGCGGCCGAGCCGGACGAGGACGGGUGGGACUGGCCCGGCCUCUGCCGCCGAAGCGCGCCCACGAGACCGGCGGCGGCAUCAGCGCCGCCUCUCUCUCCGUCGACCCCACCAUUGGCUCUCCCCUCCCGCAUACAUGCAACCGCCACCGCCAGGGCGGACACGCGGCAACAGCAACGGCGGCCACGGGAGCGCCCCAACCCGCCAAACCCGGCGUCUGGUGGCGGCGCGGCGCGGCGCGAUGCGAUUUUCGGCGCUGGUUUGGGGAUUGGGAAGGGGAGGGGGGAGGAGGGCGUGCACCUAAAAUUUCGGUUCCGUGUGGUGUGCUGUGGUGGUAUUAUUGCGGCCGCACAGCUUGCGCUUGCAUUUGCAUCAACGUUGUCGCCUUGGCUUGGCUUGGCUGGCUGGCUGGCUGGCUUGGAUGGACAGCUUUCUUGUUCCCAUCUCCCUUUCGUCACAGGUGUAAGUUAAGUUGA